ACGGAAGGCAGCAGUGGGGGAUAUUGCACAAUGGGGGAAACCCUGAUGCAGCGACGCCGCGUGAAGGAAGAAGGUCUUCGGAUUGUAAACUUCUGUCGUUGGGGACGAAAAUGACGGUACCUGUGAAGGAAGCUCCGGCUAACUACGUGCCAGCAGCCGCGGUAAUACGUAGGGAGCAAGCGUUAUCCGGAAUUACUGGGUGUAAAGGGAGUGUAGGCGGGACUGUAAGUCAGAUGUGGAAUAUACCGGCUCAACUGGUAGACUGCAUUUGAAACUGCGGUUCUUGAGUGAAGUAGAGGUAAGCGGAAUUCCUAGUGUAGCGGUGAAAUGCGUAGAUAUUAGGAGGAACAUCAGUGGCGAAGGCGGCUUACUGGGCUUUAACUGACGCUGAGGCUCGAAAGCGUGGGGAGCAAACAGGAUUAGAUACCCUGGUA
rnacentral:rRNA from 1 species